UCAGUAAAUGUUUAUUAGAUGA
rnacentral:miRNA from 2 species